ensembl:rRNA 5S_rRNA 5S ribosomal RNA
GUCUCCGGACAUAUCAGCCUGAAGGCGCUAGAUCUUGUCUGCUCUCAGAAGGUAAGCAGGGUCGGGACUGGUUAGUAUCUUGGAUGGGAGACCACCUGGGAAUCCCGGGUGCUCGAGGCU